rnacentral:rRNA from 1 species
UGCCAGCCGCCGCGGUAAUACGGAGGGUGCAAGCGUUAAUCGGAAUUACUGGGCGUAAAGCGCGCGUAGGCGGCUUUGUAAGUCUGAUUGUGAAAGCCCAUGGCUCACCCAUGGAAUGGCGAUCAAAACUGAUAUUCUCGAGAUCAGAAGGGGAGAGUGGAACUCCUAGUGGAGCGGUGAAAUGCGUUGAUAUUAGGAGGAACGCCGGUGGCGAAAGCGACUCUCUGGUCUGAUACUGACGCUGAGGUGCGAAAGCUAGGGGAGCAAACGGGAUUAGAUA